rnacentral:lncRNA from 1 species
AAAGCUAGAGAUAGCAGUUAUAGAUAACUACAAAACUAUAAAAAUGAUCAGAGAAAUGGGGCUGCAGCUUGAGACAGAUGUGUGUCAAGCACGUGUUUCUUGUCUGGACUAGGAAAUGUUAUCGCAUAUUCAUAUGCUGAUUGAAAUUCCUCUAGAGGAGAAAGAAUCUCUAUGACGAAUAGAGAGGGGAACUAUUGCAGAAGCAAAGUCCUUGAGAAGGCAGGAAGCCUAGAAUUCAGAUCCGAAGUAGAAGAAUUGGCCUUCAACAGGAAGAUGACCAUGGGCAUGGAUUGACAAACAUAGUAGCUGCCAGAAAAUAUGAAGCAGGCAGAAAAAACGUGAAAAGGACAGACGGGCCUAUCCUGCCAGCCUACAUCUUUCUCCCGUGCUGGAUACUUCUUGCCCUGGAACAUCGGACUCCACAUUCUUCAGUUUUGGGACUCAAAUUGGCUCUCCUUGCUCCUCAGCUUGCCGACAGCCUAUUGUGGGAACUUGU